CUGAUAAGGGAGGGAAACCCAAGGACAGAAGUGCUGGGAUCUCCACGAUUCGUCCUGCGAGUACAGGAAAACUCUAGAAGAUCCAUCAUUAUUGGAAUUUAUGUUCAUUUGCUUUCUUUAACCCGGUCGGUGCUGGAACUGCAUUAAUAUGUUUGUAAUGGGCUGAAGAGAGAAAAGAUAAGACCAAAUACAGAAAAUACACUGAUAACAAAUCCCCUGAAUUUGUCUCUGGUCUGAUAAUUUAUUGCGACCCACACCUUGGUAUAGUGACAGGAAGCCAAACCGUCACACUAUUAAUUCAAUUGACUGUCAAAUUUAGUAAACAAAUAUUGGUGGAUUUAUGAUGCUUGUCACUAAACUCAGCAAAUAUAGAUGAUUACCUCAUAGAAGUUCUCUAUGGCCUGCCAGUCCAGCCUCUUACAGUUUGGUCUGCACUCCGAGAUUGUUCUACUUCUAUCCAGAAUGUUUUUGAUAUCGCCUAGCAUCAGAUCAAUGCCCUGUUAAGUACAACAGGUCCAGAGAUGCAGAGACAAGACAAAACCUGAUGAGGCGCAUCUGCAACCACUCCAGCCUCAACAGGACUCAGCAUGGAUUGGCUUACGUUGAGCAUGAAGGGAAAGAAAAGUAGGAGCGAGAGCUUAAUCCCUGACUAGUGUUGCAUCUCAGCCACCGAAUUACAGGAACAUAAAAAAAAAAGAGAAAGGAGUGUGCUGAACUGCCAACUCUACAACCGCCUGCACCAUAUCAGCAGAUCACAUCCGGAAGCCAAAGACUGUUGCCUGGCAAUCUGGUAACCGGUGGCAUUUACGUCUGGCCGCCACCCCUGACCACGACUCCCUAGCAAAACGUUACCUUUAAAACGAUGUCUGUACUACUGCCCCUAGCAGCUGUACUUACUGUCAAAACGUGCACGACUACACAUAAAAUAGUACUGUCACUGUAUCAUACACACAUGUCUGCCCUGAUUAUGGCAUGUAUGGUUCCAACUGCAAUGUGCUGACUUCUACUGAUGAUGUGACUGCAAACAGAAGCUUCCAGAAUGAUUUCUGAAGUCACUGACAAGGACAAAACAAACUUCCUUAGGUAUCCAGGGGUUUUGUAGGGCCAAAAAGUGUUAGGUUCCUGACUAGCCAGGUUUAUCAUUGAAUUGAAAUCCAACUGAGCAUUGUCUAAGACAAGACUGAAGGCAAAAGGGCCCCAAAACAAGCAGAGACUGAUGGUGGGUGCAGUACUAGCUUGGCAGAGCAUCACCAAGGAUGAUACACAGUGUCUGGCAUUGUCUGAGUUGCAGAUUUAAGGCAAUCAUUGCAUGCAAAGUAUAUGUGACCAAGUACUAAACAUUACUAUAAUGUUAAUGUUAUGUUCAUCUGUCCAACUAUUCUUGGCACUUUCAAAUUGGGGGACUAUGUACAAAACAUGUGAUCAUUUCAAGAUGUUUAA